AUGUUCCUUCACUAACAGAGAGCAAUUUUGGUCCAGUUUGCUAUGCUUUCAAGCCUGCAAAUUAUGACUAAUGCAUCUUGAAAUGUUUAUUUUGACUGAAAAUAUAAUGUUGGCAACUCAUAUUUUAAGGAUCAACACAGUGCACGCAUAUUUCAUUCAACAAAAGCAUAAUAUUUGCAUAAGUUCGGCAAAUCAAAAGUGGUACAUAUUCCUAAAGUAAUCUUCACCAAAGUGGUACAUAUUCCUAAAGUAAUCUUCACCAACCUAGAGCAAUGUCAGUAGCAAGUUGGUUCCUAAACAGAUCCAUGUCAACACCAUUUUCCUCCGAAGUUGACGUAUCCGAUGCAUUUGUAGGAACAACAAACUUCUUAUACCGUUCUGGAAUUGUUGGCACAUAAUCCGGAUCCCUAUCACAUCGAACAAAGUGGAGAUCUGACUUGUCAUGGAAGCGAACAUAAUUGUGCAGUGCCAUGGUAGCAGCCACUAUCAUCUUCUGGGUUUCAAUUGAGUAGCUUGGCAUCUUCAAAAGAAUUUGCCAUUUCAUCUUCCAAACUCCAAAGGCCCUCUCUAUGCAAUUGCGUUUGGACGAGUGGAUCCUGUUGAACUUCUCCUUAGGAGUAUUCGGUGGUGCACCUCUUUGAAAGUCAGGGACAUGAUACCUUUCUCCUUUGUAGGGCGCAAGAUAUCCAAUUCGGUUAGGGUAGCCAGCAUCUACAAGAUAGUACUUGCCUACAAAAUAGAGAGAAUGGUGCAUGUAAGUUGUUGGACAUAAGACAUAAGUUGCAACAAGCAAAAAUGCUUACCCUUUGGAGGAUGGGGAAAGGUGGCCUUAUCCAUAUGCAUUGCGGUAUAUAGCACAGUUGUGUCAUGCAUAGAACCAGGUUGACCAAUAGAUGCAUACGUGAAAUGCAUAUCGAAGUCACAUAUUGCCAUCACAUUUUGAGUUAUUGCUCCUGUUCUUCCGAUGUACCUCACUUGUGCGGCCUCGGGAAUAGAAGCCCUAAUGUGAGUCCCAUCUAUUGCACCAAUGCAGUCUUUCAAGUGUGGAUAAGCCCUUUUGUCAUUCCGAAUCCUUGGAUGCACGGCCAUAAAAUUUGGGUCCUUAGGCUUGAUGUAGUCAGCUGACAUCUUCACCACACAAAGUAGUACUUCAUGGAAUUUACGAUGGAUUGUAUCGGUGGAAUGCUUGAAACGGUUUUGGGUUCUUCUAUUUGAUUCACAGCCUCCCAAGGUCCACAAGAACAUAGCAAGAGACUCAUAACUACUAACAAAAGGGGAAUGGCUCAGCCCAUACUUAUCCUUCAACAAGUCAUGAAGUUCAAAGAAUAUUGUUGCCUUCAUUCUAAGCAUGGUGAAGGUCUCUCCCGGUGUACUGAUAGUCUCCUGCAACCAUCCAAAUCCACUCAAGAUAGAUGUCCUAGGAUCGGCCUUCAUCACCCAACUGUCACAAUACUUCUCAAAUAUGGUUGAUGCACUCAGAUACAUGAUGUUCAUUUCUUGUGCAUGGGCACGAACCAUUCUUUUCUUCAUUUCAUAAUAGUUUUCAUCAUCACUGUCACUAUCAGAUGACAUCUGCACAUACACAACCAAUGAAUUAACUAACAAAGGUUAGCAUGGUGAGUAAGAAAUAUGAAGAUGAAACUCCACUUCAUAAAUAUUAUCCAAUAAGUUAUUACAAGCCUUAUAGGAAACAAUUGUUCAACACGUGGUACUUAAUAUUGUUCAACCUCACACAUAGGAUACGGAAUGGUUCAAUACCAUAGGACAUAAGCAACCAUCACACAUAUGACAUAAAUUGGAAUCAACUAGUUCCCGUACUUGACGCUGAACUUCCU
rnacentral:lncRNA from 1 species